GAUAAGCACAUUUCAUAUAUACAAUUUGGGCACACAAAUAUACCAUUUAUUGUGAUCUGGCCAUCAAUUCUUGCUGUGAAAUAUUGAAUACUUGCUUGAUAAUCAAAAAAGGGUAUCAUUUACAAUUCGUUUGUUUAUCUUGCAGAAAAGUGCGAGAAGGCACUAUAAACUUCGUGAUAAUGAGAAGAGUCAAGGGCAGGAAAGAAGAAUAUUGAGGAACAAGACUUUGGGCAAGAAGAGAAGAGGGACCCAACUAGGAAGGAAGAAGUAUCCAGGGGCGCCAACUAAAUGAAGAAUGGAUCUUCUUGCGUAGAAAGUUGAGAUGAGGAGGGCCAAAGUGCAACAGUGGCAGCUGAGAGAAGGGGAACAAAAUCCCUAGCGCAACCAAUUUUUUGGAUCGGGCCUGGCACACAUCUCUCUCCCUCACCCCUCCUUCUUCCACCUCCGGCCACCGCCGCGGCUAGGCCGGCGUGGCGGUGUGCAACCCAGCCAUCUAUCAGCGCCACCCAGCACCUCCACCCGCUCCACAACACCACAGCACCUCCACCCGCCAUACCGUAACGCAUCCAUCCACCAUCGCCAUCACAUCCAGCCACCAUCACCUCGCGUGCCCGACCAGACUAGAGGUCGUGGUUGUCUAGUGCUCCGCGCAAGUCUCUCCUCUCUGCUGCUGUACCCUGCGCCCCUUGCCUAGCUGCUCCUAUUCUCCUGCGCCCCCUGCUGCUCCUCACCAUGCUGCUGCUCUCUGCCUAACACGCCUUUGUUGUUCUUCUUGCCCAAACCAUGCUGUUACUCCUUAUCUGAACCUACGGUUGCUACUGCGCUCUGCUGCUUCUUCUCCCAUGUCACUACUGCUGCUCUUCUUUUCUUUCCCCUACUGUUGCUCCUUCUCUGAACCUCACGAUGCUGCUCCAUCUCCUAAACGCUGCUGCUUCUUCCUUGGCCCCCUGCUCUGCUCCUAAUCUGAACCAUAAAUUGCUGCUACUCCCCUUCAUUCUCUAAAUUUCUGUAGACUUGAGAUCAUAUGUAAUAUUCAUAUUUGGCUAGUGCUUGAAACUUGCUAUUGGUUCAGAUUUGUAACUGUAUAAUAAUGCUAUGACAUGUUCAGUUUCAGACUGGUGAUUGUUUAGUACUGUAGUACUGUUUUUGUUCAUCGGAGAGUAUUAGAACAGUGCCCUGUAAUACCAUAUUCGUAUUUGUGUGUGUGUGUGUGUGUGAAAUAUAUUAAUUAUGUACUGCACUUGCUACUGAUUAGUGUCCAGUUUACUGUAGACUGUUGCUCAAGUUCCUAUGAUAUAUAUCAUGUUUGACAGUUUAGUCUUCUAGUUAUUAUUGCACUGAUUUAUGUCAAGAAGAUUUGGCUAGUGUGAUGUGAGUCCAGUACAUGUGCUUUAUAAUCCUGUUUGUAACCAGUGUUCAUUUUGUAGUCCCAGUGAUAUAUCUUGUACCUUGUGCUAGCUAUGAACCUAUGAUAUAUAUGUGUGUGUUAUGUUCAUGUCCUUUUACUUCUCUUGUCAUUGAUGAUAGCUUUUGUUAGUAUCUUAAUUUCUCAAGCAUUACGAAAAUACCAAAAAGAUUGUUGAAGAUAAUUUGAACCUUCCUUGCUACUGUGUUAUUUUCUUUAUCGUCAACUUUGAUUAGUUUAGGUCUAUAUUUCCUUGCAAUCAUCAUCUAAAUUCUAUUACCUAGCUUUAGCCUAGUAUAGUUGCCAUCGCCUAGUCCCUGAGGAGAACCCGACACUCGUAGUUUGGGUAUAAAACCCCACUGUACCUACUAUUGAUCAUUUUGGCGCCGUUGCCGGGGACUAGCGUCGAGUGACCGUGUUAGGCUAUAGACUAGGUUUUUCUUCUUUUUCUAUUUUGUGCCAUAUAUUUGUGAUAUAUCUCUAACUCCUGACCCUUGUUCCAGAUUAUUUCCUCUUUGUUUUCUUCUCCUUUUUGUAGGUUAGAACCAUCUUCUCGGAUAUGGCUUACUAUUCAGAUCAUCAUGCUUAUGUGAGCAACACUACAAACAGCACGGAAAGUGUUCAAGAACUGAUAGGUAAGAUUUCCCAUCGAUUAGAUGAUUUAGCUCGGCAGCGAGAAGGAGUUUUUGAGGAUAGGCCUAGUUCUUACGAUCCUUAUUCCAGAGGCCAUCCUUAUGUUGCUCCUACCUACCAUAUUUGUGGAUUUCAGGGCCAUUCGCCCGCUGAAUGUCAGCGUGGUUACUCCCAUCCUCCGGAUUGUUUUGGCAUGAGCUUCGCUCAACAGCAUAGCUCAUACCAAAACAAUUACUCACAUGGGUGGCCUGAAAUCCCGAAUAUGUCAUAUAGGAGCAACAACCCUGAGAUCUCAUCGUUUGCCUCUAGUUAUCCAAUGCAGGGAUUUAGGUAUGAAGAGGAGAGCCACAACUAUGCUCCACAACAGAUUUAUUCAGCUCCUACUCAUAUACCUCAACACCAGGACAUGUUGCCAACGGAGUUAAAUGGUCCUCCAUUUGGUCAACCAACACUUUCAACACAAGUGCCCACACAAGAUGACUUUGAUGAUAUAGACAAGCUCACAUUGCUUAGUCUUGAGUUCACUUGGAGUGCCGAGGAUGAUCCUAUUAGGAAGGUUAUUCUAGAGGAAAUGAAGAAGAUCAAGAGUGGAAAAGAGCUAGUGGAAGAAGUAAGGAAGAUUGAGAAGAACAUCAACGCUGGCAGCACUAUUUCUUCACAACUUGAGUUGAGUGUGGUUGAGAUAUCCAUGGAUACAUGUGAGGUUCCAACACCUUCACAUUUCGUUGAGCAAGAUAGCAAGUGCCUUGAGCAAGAGAUACCUCAGAUUAUAGAAGAUGAACUAGAAGACAAGGAACAAGAUGAUCAAGAGCUGCAAUUCCCAAGUGAUCAAGUUGAAGACUCAUCAUCUAUUACUCCUGAAGAAGUACAAGAAGCUGCUGUAGAUGAAGAUGAAGAACAUGAGAUUCAUUUGCCUAUUGUCAUACCAGAGUGUGAUGUGUCAGGUUUACUCAAUCCUCUUGAUGACAUGAUGCCUUGUGAUUUCUUUGCUACUACCUUGCAUUACAUGAUACCAUCACUUAAGAUUGAUUUGAAAACUCAUUUGCUUGGAUAUGAUGAUAUAUACCCUGUUAGUGGCAUUACUCUCAUUUGUGAUGAUCAUAGUUACUUUCCUCGUGCUAGUCCUAUGCUUAAUGAAACAUAUCAUUCCCAUGCUAGUCUUGAGCUUAAUGAUAAAUAUCAUCCUCAUGUUAGUGCUGACCUUGCUGAUUUCUACCAUCCUAAACAUGUGCUUUAUAGCUAUGCUUAUGUAAUUGGAUAUUCGAUUGAUGACUUGGAGGGUAUUAUCCCUACCACUUGCAUUGUGUCUUUGGUUGAGUGCUCUUUCAGGUUGUUGCUUGUGCACGAUCCAAUACAUGCUGACCAGGUUCGAGGUGACAUUCCUUGGGAUCCUGGUGGAGUCAGAGCAUGGCGAUGAGGAGAAGCAAUGGGGCACACAUAUGGAAGAGUGAAGCUGGAGCAUCCAUGAGGAAGCAAGGGAGAAGAGCUGCAGCUGGUGAGGUGAUCGAGCGAGUGCUACAUGAUCAAAGCCCGGUGAGCUGUUUCAUGACCCAUUCCGAAUAUAUCAUCCAUUAAUACAUGCUGAAAUCAAAUGUUAUUUGGGUUGCUUAAGCCAUGUCUUAAAUGUUGCCCCACUGAAUUUUACUUGACAUAUGGUGCUUGAUGAGAAUAUGUGAACUGAGUGUUGAAUGCCUGGUAAACUAGUGAUCUAUACAAGGCUUGCUUUGCUAAAAGUAGUGGAAGUUAUUAGUUUUGAGUGCUCAAAUCCCUAGUAUACUAGAAAACUUAAUCAUUUUCUGCUUUUACCUCGAUACACCUAGAUCACCAUGUUUAGAUGCUGAAUUUGUGCUAAGUGUGUUCCCAUUGAGAGCAAUCACCUAACCACUAUGGAUUAGCAUGCUAUGUUCCCUGGAUCGGUAGCAUGUGAACCAGACAUGGAGAAGUGAUGAUUCCUGUCUUUGUGCUUAUGCGUUGUUCAUUUAAGAUAAGUAAUAAUGAAUAAAUAAGUCUGACUACCUAAAGUAGCAUGUCAUGUUCCCGGGAUCGGUGGCAUGUGAAAUCCGGUAGCUUGGACAGUAAUAAAUAAAUAAAAAUGUAAUUGUCGAACCAGGUGUAUACCAUGUUCUCGGGAUCGGUGGUAUGUUCCUUUGGGGAGACAAAUAACAACAAAAAAACUAAUAAUUGGUUGAUCCAGGUGUAUACCAUGUUCUCGGGAUCGGUGGUAUGUUCCUUUGGUGAGAUCGAUAAAAUAUUAUCAUUGCUUUACUUCUGUAAAUAAGUGAACGGAUCACAAGUUUAUGUUCUUUUUUUUGUGCUCUGGAUCAUGCUCGCUUUAGGAACCUUUGGCACAAUCAUCAUUUAAACUUGUUGAUCUUCUUUUAUCAUUGUAAAAUUUUAAAAUGGUCAAGUCUACUAGGAUCCUAUUGCUUUGUAGCACUCUUAACCAUUGAUUUUCACUAGUUAAGUCCAAAGCAUGCUUUGUUUGGAGAUCUACUUCACUGGGACAUUCUCCAGUCAGCUCACUGUUCAUUAUCUAGCUCUUGUCAUAUUCCUUUGCUUGAGGACAAGCAAAGAUUUAAGUGUGGGGGAACUUGAUAAGCACAUUUCAUAUAUACAAUUUGGGCACACAAAUAUACCAUUUAUUGUGAUCUGGCCAUCAAUUCUUGCUGUGAAAUAUUGAAUACUUGCUUGAUAAUCAUAAAAGGGUAUCAUUUACAAUUCGUUUGUUUAUCUUGCAGAAAAGUGCGAGAAGGCACUAUAAACUUCGUGAUAAUGAGAAGAGUCAAGAGCAGGAAAGAAGAAUAUUGAGGAACAAGACUUUGGGCAAGAAGAGAAGAGGGACCCAACUAGGAAGGAAGAAGUAUCCAGGGGCGCGAACUAAAUGAAGAAUGGAUCUUCUUGCGUAGAAAGUUGAGAUGAGGAGGGCCAAAGUGCAACAGUGGCAGCUGAGAUAAGGGGAACAAAAUCCCUAGCGCAACCAAUUUUUUGGAUCGGGCCUGGCACACAUCUCUCUCCCUCACCCCUCCUUCUUCCACCUCCGGCCACCGCCGCGGCUAGGCCGGCGUGGCGGUGCGCAACCCAGCCAUCCACCAGCGCCACCCAGCACCUCCACCCGCUCCCCAAUGCCGCAGCACCUCCACCCGCCAUACCGUAACGCAUCCAUCCACCAUCGCCAUCACAUCCAGUCACCAUCACCUCGCGUGCCCGACCAGACUAGAGGUCGUGGUUGUCUAGUGCUCCGCGCGAGUCUCUCCUCUCUGCUGCUGUACCCUGCGCCCCUUGCCUAGCUGCUCCUAUUCUCCUGCGCCCCCUGCUGCUCCUCACCAUGCUGCUGCUCUCUGCCUAACACGCCUUUGUUGUUCUUCUUGCCCAAACCAUGCUGUUACUCCUUAUCUGAACCUACGGUUGCUACUGCGCUCUGCUGCUUCUUCUCCCAUGUCACUACUGCUGCUCUUCUUUUCUUUCCCCUACUGUUGCUCCUUCUCUGAACCUCACGAUGCUGCUCCAUCUCCUAAACGCUGCUGCUUCUUCCUUGGCCCCCUGCUCUGCUCCUAAUCUGAACCAUAAAUUGCUGCUACUCCCCUUCAUUCUCUAAAUUUCUGUAGACUUGAGAUCAUAUGUAAUAUUCAUAUUUGGCUAGUGCUUGAAACUUGCUAUUGGUUCAGAUUUGUAACUGUAUAAUAAUGCUAUGACAUGUUCAGUUUCAGACUGGUGAUUGUUUAGUACUGUAGUACUGUUUUUGUUCAUCGGAGAGUAUUAGAACAGUGCCCUGUAAUACCAUAUUCGUAUUUGUGUGUGUGUGUGUGUGUGAAAUAUAUUAAUUAUGUACUGCACUUGCUACUGAUUAGUGUCCAGUUUACUGUAGACUGUUGCUCAAGUUCCUGUGAUAUAUAUCAUGUUUGACAGUUUAGUCUUCUAGUUAUUGUUGCACUGAUUUAUGUCAAGAAGAUUUGGCUAGUGUGAUGUGAGUCCAGUACAUGUGCUUUAUAAUCCUGUUUGUAACCGGUGUUCAUUUUGUAGUCCCAGUGAUAUAUCUUGUACCUUGUGCUACCUAUGAACCUGUGAUAUAUAUGUGUGUGUUAUGUUCAUGUCCUUUUACAUCUCUUGUCAUUUAUGAUAGCUUUUGUUAGUAUCUUAAUUUCUCAAGCAUUACGAAAAUACCAAAAAGAUUGUUGAAGAUAAU
rnacentral:lncRNA from 1 species